CUUGACGUAGAGCCACGUUAAAUGACACUCCAACGGCACUUAUACCAGGUCAUUGCAACGGGCAAAUGUAUUUUUCUUGAGGCGUUGUGCAAUAGCAUUUCAAAGUAACCAGGUCGUGUUUUACCCGUGAGAAAACAAAGCAGACUGGUGCAAAAAUGGAGAAAGUUGGAUUUGAAGUAAUCCAAGACCCUAAAAUUUAACGCAGCUAUUUUAAUCGUUGUGCUCUGAUCAUCAACAAGAUCUGACACCGAACCAGAUACUGUAUCAGGAUAAUUUAGCCAAAGGAUGCUGAGUUUCUGAGCGAUGUGGAAUGCAAGUACAUUUGGUGAGAACCUACAUUACUGACAGCUAAAGCUAAUGAUUGGAGAAUUCCACCAGGCAAGCAGAAGGCCAAAUACCUCCCAUCUCCUAAUUGCCUGCAAUUUUCAUAAGGAUCACAAACCUCUGUAGAAAUAGAAUAAGUAACUGGGAAUUGUGCUGACAAGUUGAUUGUGUUGACCUUCAUUAAUCAUGGAUUGAGUUCAAGAGCCGCGAGGGACAAAGCCCAGGAGCCUAAGGACCCACACUCAAUGUUUCCGAAACAGCUUUUUCCCCUCCACCAUCAAAUUAAUGAACCCUACUUCACUGUUUCUUGCAAACAAGAGAAAAUCUGCAGAUGCUGGAAAUCCAAGCAAAACACACAAAAUGCAACAGGUCAGGCAGCAUGUAUGGAAAAGAGUACAGUCGUCGUUUUGGGCCUAGUCUGCUGAGUUCCUCCAGCAUUUUGUGUGUGUCACUAUUUUUUGCUCUCAUUUUGUACUUUGUUUAAAUUAAUUUUAUAUAUAUUUUUUCCUGUUGUCCUUUAUACUAUUUUUAUGCCUUUGUUAUUAAACCUGAUUCUGAUUCUGAUUAAACCUCAAAAUCAGAACACUGCUUAAAUUUUCUUAAUAAACUGUGUUCAAUCAACUUGAUGUGAUACUCAGGAGUUAUAUGCAAUGCAGGAAUGGGCCAACAUCAAAAAAAAUGAGAGUCAUUGUGUCUUGUAUGUUUACUUUUGAGAAUGUGCCCUAGUAUCUAUUCACCCCAGUGGUAUGCAGAAGACUCCAGAAUGAAGAAUCAUCCUAAAUACUGGUUGAUCCACAUUCAUAACAUAGAAGAGUUUUACUUUUAAUGCUGUUUGUAGCAAAGCUUCAAUAAUUAACAGAUUGGUCUCAAGUAGUUCCAACAAUGAGUCAUUCCAAUUGCAUCACCUUUCCCACUGCAAUCUAAUGCAGUUAACAAUUCUGCUUGGCAUUCACUAGAAAUUACGAAAUAACAAAGAUGACACAGAUCCAUUUAUUUAAAGUGGUACUGUUGAGUGUUCUCAGUAGGUCCAUGGGCAAGUGACUGUCAAUAUUGGCAAUCCCCAACCUACAGACUCACUUUCAAGGACUCUACAACUCAUGUUCUCAGUAUUAUGUUUACACUUAUUUAUUAUUUUAU